GUCACGAGUCAUUAUUCCACUCGGGUGUUGCCUGGGGUUGGGGGGUCUCUGCCUGGGCACACAAAUAAGGGCUGGUUCUCCACGUGUAAAGAAAAAGUUAACUUGCCACAGCUAUUUAGAAGGUUUGCAGUUAAAGUCUGACAGCUGCAAGGUCACUAUUGCCCCACCUGUAGUUACUACAGCUUAGCUCCUUGUUAUAAUUCCUUGCCUGCUUCAUGUCAGUCUCUUGCUCUGCCUCAGCAGUUAUCCUAAUAAAGCUUUGGAUACUUU